rnacentral:tRNA from 1 species
GUAAAUAUAGUUUAAUCAAAACAUUAGAUUGUGAUUCUAAAAAAAAAGUAUAAAACCCUUUUAUUUACC